rnacentral:tRNA from 1 species
UAGCUCAGCUGGUAGAGCAGGGGACUCUUAAUCCCAAGGUCCAGGGUUCGAACCC